AUGCUCACUUUGGCAGUACAUAUACUAAAAUUGGAAUGAUACGGAAGAUUAGCAUGGCCCCUGCGCAAGGUUGACACGCAAAUUUGAUCCUCAGGUUUUU
rnacentral:snRNA from 1 species